AGAGUUUGAUCCUGGCUCAGAUUGAACGCUGGCGGCAUGCCUUACACAUGCAAGUCGAACGGCAGCACGGGAGCAAUCCUGGUGGCGAGUGGCGAACGGGUGAGUAAUAUAUCGGAACGUGCCCAGUCGUGGGGGAUAACGCAGCGAAAGCUGUGCUAAUACCGCAUACGAUCCAAGGAUGAAAGCGGGGGAUCGCAAGACCUCGCGCGAUUGGAGCGGCCGAUAUCAGAUUAGCUAGUUGGUGGGGUAAAGGCUCACCAAGGCGACGAUCUGUAGCUGGUCUGAGAGGACGACCAGCCACACUGGAACUGAGACACGGUCCAGACUCCUACGGGAGGCAGCAGUGGGGAAUUUUGGACAAUGGGCGCAAGCCUGAUCCAGCAAUGCCGCGUGCAGGAUGAAGGCCUUCGGGUUGUAAA
rnacentral:rRNA from 1 species